UUUGCCCACACAUGGGAUCAAUAGGAUACCAUAACGAUGAAGGUCGUAAUAGAAUACGAAAGUAUUUUAAUAUUUACCGAAUUAAUAUUUAAUAAUAU
rnacentral:rRNA from 1 species